rnacentral:rRNA from 1 species
GACGAACGCUGGCGGCGUGCUUAACACAUGCAAGUCGAACGGAAAGGCCUGCUUUCCCUUGUGGAUUGCGGGUACUCGAGUGGCGAACGGGUGAGUAACACGUGAGUGAUCUGCCCCCAACUUGGGUAUAAGCCUGGGAAACUGGGUCUAAUUCCCGAUAGGACUGCAGGGUGGUGCCUGUGGUGGAAAACGAUUUUCUAGUGGUUGGGGAUGAGCUCGCGGCCUAUCAGCUUGUUGGUGGGGUAAUGGCCUACCAAGGCGGCGACGGGUAGCCGGCCUGAGAGGGUGGACGGCCACAUUGGGACUGAGAUACGGCCCAGACUCCUACGGGAGGCAGCAGUGGGGAAUAUUGCACAAUGGGCGGAAGCCUGAUGCAGCGACGCCGCGUGGGGGAUGACGGCCUUCGGGUUGUAAACUCCUUUCGACCGCGAGGAAGCCACCUGGUUGGAAGGGUGGUGACGGUAGUGGUAGAAGAAGCACCGGCUAACUA